CCUACGGGGUGCUGCAGUGGGGAAUAUUGGACAAUGGGCGAAAGCCUGAUCCAGCCAUGCCGCGUGUGUGAAGAAGGCCUUCGGGUUGUAAAGCACUUUCAGUGGGGAAGAAAGCCUUGGGGCUAAUACCCUCGAGGAAGGACAUCACCCACAGAAGAAGCACCGGCUAACUCCGUGCCAGCAGCCGCGGUAAUAUGGAGGGUGCGAGCGUUAAUCGGAAUUACUGGGCGUAAAGCGCGCGUAGGCGGUCUGAUAAGCCGGUUGUGAAAGCCCCGGGCUCAACCUGGGAACGGCAUCCGGAACUGGCAGGCUAGAGUGCAGGAGAGGAAGGUAGAAUUCCCGGUGUAGCGGUGAAAUGCGUAGAGAUCGGGAGGAAUACCAGUGGCGAAGGCGGCCUUCUGGACUGACACUGACGCUGAGGUGCGAAAGCGUGGGUAGCAAACAGGAUUAGAUACCCUAGUAGUC
rnacentral:rRNA from 1 species